CGGGAAUAGGAGUUUAGAAAGACUACAGACAACAUCAUCAAAAAGCUUUUCAAAACACCAUUCUAUAAUCAAAUGCGUUAAAGAUGGCAGCUUAGAAUACAGGCAGAAUUGGUGAAGGUAUCUUGUAAUGUAAAUCUCCUGUAUUUAAUUUUCUACUGCUCGUAAAAUAGGCUCCUGUGUGUUUGGACCAUGUGACAGUCAUGUGUAGUACAUCACAUCAUAGUGUAGCUGUCGCAGAAGUGCUCGUUACGUGUUGAUCACAGGUGCCCAAAUCCAGCAGUUUUAAUUGGAGAUCUUUAUUGGAUAAGAAUUAUCCUCCUGCAU